UCGGCUAAAGAUAAAUUCUUCUUUAUUGAGUUCCAGGCUUAAAGCUGAAUUAGCAAUUGGGAUUGGGAUUCAGACAACUGAUAGAAAUAGAAUAAGGAUAACCUUGAAAUGAGUCCUAGCUUGAAAAAGGAUUUCAAAGAGAGUUAGAGGCGUUUCAAACUCUAGUUUGGAGAACAAACUUACCUUUUGACACCAAAUUUGAAGGGAUACUCCAAGUUUUGUCCAAGGUUGGGAGAAGGAAGGAAAGACAACAAUGAGUGUGCAAACCAAGAUGUUGGUAGGUCUGCAAAACAAGCCUUGUUAUCUUUCGGAACGAUUUUGUUUCUGGCUUAAUGGACAUGACUUUUACUCUAUUUAGUUAUUGUCUGUUGUUGAAUAUAUUUAUAAUGUAUUUUUUCCCUACAGUUGUAAUUGUUUUU